CCUACGGGAGGCAGCAGUGAGGAAUAUUGGUCAAUGGACGAGAGUCUGAACCAGCCAAGUAGCGUGAAGGAUGACUGCCCUAUGGGUUGUAAACUUCUUUUAUAUGGGAAUAAAACAGGGUAGACAUACCCUCUUGUAUGUACCAUAUGAAUAAGGAUCGGCUAACUCCGUGCCAGUAGCCGCGGUAAUACGGAGGAUCCGAGCGUUAUCCGGAUUUAUUGGGUUUAAAGGGAGCGUAGGUGGAUUGUUAAGUCAGUUGUGAAAGUUUGCGGCUCAACCGUAAAAUUGCAGUUGAAACUGUCAGUCUUGCGUACAGUAGAGGUGGGCGGAAUUCGUGGUGUAGCUGUGACAUGCUUAGAUAUC
rnacentral:rRNA from 1 species